GGGCUUGCUUCGGCAGCACAUAUACUAAAACUGGAAAUAUACAGAGAAAAUUAGCAUGGCCCCUGCUCAAGGAUGACAAAUUCAUGAAGUAUUCCAUAUUUUU